CCUGCAGGUUUGGACUCUCUCUUGUCCGUACUAGAGAAUGAAUUGCAGAAACUGCAGCAAUUUUCCGUGACCUAACCAGAGCUAGGCAGAAAUAUGAGACGAAAAAUCAGUAGCAAAAUUUCAUCUUUCUUGCUGCAUAAGUCUCCGAGAGCCCUUUCCUCGGUUCAUCAUAAUUAUCAUGAUCUUGCAGCACGGGCGCCGAUAGUCCUUCAAGUUCAACGUCAAGGCCUUCAAAACUUUUACUACAACAAAGUUAAAAAGCGUGAAAUUUCUUCAGAACCCACCUCUCUUUUCACUUCUAUCUCUCGACGAUAUCUAUGUAGCAGUUCCCCUCAAAUCAUCAAAACCCAGGACCAUGAUGAUAUAGAUGAGGUUGAACCAAUUGAUUUAUGGGAAGAAGAAGAGGAGGUUGAGCCUAAGAUUGGUGAUGGUGGUGAUGGAGGUGGAGUGGUUCUUCAAAAUUGUCCCUGGGGAGAAAAGGCACUUUCCAUAGCCCACAAGGUGCUGCUGCAGUUUGGAGAUGACAUGAAGCUCUUUGCCUUGAAGACCUCACCGCGUGGAUACAUCUACGUCAGACUUGAUAAGCUGUCAAAUGAAUAUGGGUGCCCCAGCAUCGAGGAGCUUGAAUCUUUCAGUAAAGAAUACAAGGCAAAGCUAGAUGAAGUAGGGGCUACUGGAGAAAUCCCAGAUGAUUUGGCUCUUGAUGUUUCCUCACCUGGGGCUGAGCGGCUACUCAAAGUACCAGACGACUUGGAUAGGUUCAAAGAGAUGCCUAUGCGUGUCAGCUAUGUUGAAAAUUUGGAGGUGGAAUGCCCAGAAAAGAAUGGAGUUUUCCUGCUAGAAUCGAUUGAGAUGGAUUCAGGGUGCUGUAUAUGGAAGUUGGCUGAUGUGAAGGAAAAUAGAAACCCUUCAGCUAAAGGCAGGCCAAUGAGCCGUAAACAGAAAGAUUGGAGAUUAAGACUGCCAUAUGAUAUGUACAAGCGCAUAACCCUAUUUCUAGAUUACUAAAAUACAAGAUCAUUUGUUGCUUAUACUUAGAUUAGGUCUAUGGCCCUGUGGUUAUCACAAUCUGGCGUGUAUGAGAUCUUGGCGACAUUGUCACUGUUUCUGAAAGAGGUGCUGUUGCUUUUUACAUGAGCUACGUUGCAUGUCUGUUCAUCAGCCAAAACCCAAGUGAUAAGAUCACUACUCUGCGCAACCGGUCUCGAGCCAAUGGUAUCCCACUUUCGUGGUGACACAAUCGUCUUUCUUCCUAGGACCCUGUCCGAUUACUGUUUCAACUUUCCAUUUUUCUUGCAAUUGGAUUAUGCCUCAGCAUUAUUGGCAUGUUUAAUAUUUAAU